GCUCUACAGACAUUUGAAUUGAUUUGAACUCCAGAGUCCUCACGGCAGUUGUAGAAGCAAAUCUUCUUUACGAGAGCCAGUUAAAGUAUUAAGUUGCACCACAACUAAUUAACGUCAAGAGGUAAAACUGAAUGACGGAAGAGAUGUCUCUCAAGAACAAACUGGAUGCCCAUGGUCUACUUCUUACCUUUAUAAGAAAAUGAAACCAGCAAUGCAUAUCCGUCGCAAAACACACCGGACACUGGAGCAAGGGAAAGGUUUAUUGGGGAACACCCUACAGACCGGAGAGAAGGGGCGGCAAAGGAAAAAAAGGAGUCUGUAAGAGAGAAGCAGAGAUGCGAGGAGCUAGCAAGGAGAGAAGAGAGCAGAGAAGAGCCGAGAGAGAGAGCCACGAGACCAGAGGAGGAGGCUAGAGAGAGGAACCGAGAGAGAAGAGUCAAGAGCCAAGAAAGAAGAACCAAGAGCCAAGAGAGCACGUGUUCAGGAACAGGCCCUUUUAAAACUGAGGGCGGACAGGGAAGCAGGAGCAGCGAAUCCCUUUAGGAUGGGGGUGGAGCCUGGUUCAGGUAGCUGGGCCAUGCAGCCACCUGGCUAAAAGUGUGCCAGUUUCCUAACAGAAUCAGUCUCAUUCACUGAAUGAAAUUCAUCUGGUC